rnacentral:rRNA from 1 species
UACGUAGGGGGCUAGCGUUGUCCGGAAUCAUUGGGCGUAAAGAGCGUGUAGGCGGCCCGGUAAGUCCGCUGUAAAAGUCAAAGGCUCAACCUUUGAAUGUCAGUGGAUACUGCCGGGCUAGAGUCCGGAAGAGGCGAGUGGAACUCCUGGUGUAGCGGUGGAAUGCGCAGAUAUCGGGAGGAACACCUAUGGCGAAGGCAGCUCGCUGGGACGUUACUGACGCUGAGGCGCGAAAGCGUGGGGAGCAAACAGG